rnacentral:rRNA from 1 species
CGGUAAUACGUAGGGUGCAAGCGUUAAUCGGAAUUACUGGGCGUAAAGCGUGCGCAGGCGGUGAUGUAAGACAGAUGUGAAAUCCCCGGGCUCAACCUGGGAACUGCAUUUGUGACUGCAUCGCUGGAGUGCGGCAGAGGGGGAUGGAAUUCCGCGUGUAGCAGUGAAAUGCGUAGAUAUGCGGAGGAACACCGAUGGCGAAGGCAAUCCCCUGGGCCUGCACUGACGCUCAUGCACGAAAGCGUGGGGAGCAAACAGGAUUAGAUACCCUGGUAGUCCACGCCCUAAACGAUGUCAACUGGUUGUUGGGUCUUCACUGACUCAGUAACGAAGCUAACGCGUGAAGUUGACCGCCUGGGGAGUACGGCCGCAAGGUUGAA